AUAGGAUUAUGCCAUGUGUCAAGU
rnacentral:siRNA from 1 species